rnacentral:lncRNA from 1 species
CUCUGGUUCUGUUUCUAGGAGCAGGGAGACAAGAGUGAAUCACUGUGUUCUGAAAAGAAAUCCUUAGGAGACUUCUGCUUCUUUGGGAUGUUCACUGCAGGCAUACAGGAGGUGACAGUGUGGCUCGGCUAUUAAAAGCCACAAAGGCAUCAAGAAAGCUGACCACACUGCUCAGUUCCUGCCUCACCCUGGCAAGGGAAUUACAGGAUCCAGAAAACCAGACCCUCUUCUGAUGCCACACGCCAGCUCCUCAGCUCUCCCCAGAGUUCACAAGGUCAGAGAGUUGUGUGCUUCUGUGGCCACAUCAAGAGCCCAGGAUACAGCAGUCACUUAACCUUCACUCAGCUCAAGCACCUCCUCCUCCAGGGCCCCUUCCUCAGUGCUUCAUUUUGGUUAAUUUUUUUUUUCAGCAUUUUAGAUGGAGCACAGGGCCUCAUGCAUGCUAAGGCAAGUGAGUGCUCCCCCACUGAGUGUCAUCCUACUGCCAGCUCUUCAUCUUGUUGCAGCACCUGCCACGAUUAGAUCUUUAGCUGCCUUGCUAAGAGAAUAUUCCAUUGCUCCGGCCCACAAGAGGUGUUCCUGGGAGGCUCUGUCAGCGCAGGGUGGACCAGAGAAGCAGACACCUCUCCAACCUAGAGAUGCCACCCUCCUCCCAGAUGGAAGUCUGGGCUUCACACCAGGUCCAGCAGGCCCAAACCCGGUGGUGAGAAGACCUUCUCCCUAAGAGAACCCCCAGGGUCCGUCACCUCCCUCUAGCACUCCCACUAACCACCAGGCUGGAAAGAGAAGGGAUGAGAGACCCAGAACAACUGCCUGAGACUUUUCUCCUGGGCCAGGCAGCUCAGGGUGCUGCAAGAUCACCAAGAGAAGCCUGGUGUCAUGGCACACACCUAUGACCCCGGCACUCCAGAGGUUGAGGCAAGAAUAUUGGGAAGCUCGAGGCCAACCUGGGCUACAUAGUGAGUUCAAAGCCAGCCUGAACUACAUAGUGAGACCCUGUCUCAGAAAACUGUCAAAUAAAUAAGUUAAAUCAAUCAAUAAAUAAAUGAUCGCUAAAGAAAACAGUUAUUCUCAAAGCUCCAAGAUCCUGCUUCCUAAGGAGCAG